UCUGUGUUUAUAAUACUUCUCCUUAAGCCCUUGUUGAGACACAGUUGGAGCACCUGCACCCAUUGCUUUUUGGAAAGCUUUUGCUGAAGUCACAUCUGACUGUUCUUCUAUCUCCUUCUUAGAACCCACUAUCGGAGAAGUUUCUGAUGCAACUCUAAUAAGCUUUCUGUGUUUGUGAUACUUCUUCUUAAGUCCUUGUUGUGACACUAUUGGAGCACCUGUUGCUUUUGGAAAAGCUUUUGCUGAAGCCACAUCUAAUUGAUCUUCUAUCUCCUUGUUAGAAUCCGUUGUCAGAGAAGUUUCUAGUGCAACCUCAAUGAGCUUUCUGUGUUUGGGAUACUUUUUCUUAAGCCCUUGUUGAGACGUUGGAGCACCUAAUUAAAAAUGAAUAUUUCUUAAGCCUUUGUUGAAGCCACAUAUGAGUGUUCUUCUAUCUUCUAAUUACAAGCUGCAAUUGGAGAAGCUUCA
rnacentral:misc_RNA from 1 species